GUUUUAGGUUGAUUCAAUUCAAUCUGCUGUAGCGGCUCUGGCGAUCAACACCGAACUUUGCUGCUGAUUCAAAACCGUCAUCGAAGAUUCAAUCUCGAUCUGACGUUUGACAACGUACGGAAUCCUAGGAGUUGACUUACGACAAGGGUUUGGAAGGGCUCAACGAAAUGGUUUCCUUUUCCAAGAAUCCGGAAUCUUUGGGCCGUCUGAACGAGGCCGGGAAAAAGUAACGAGAAGUCGAUCCCCUGUUGGCCAACUUCAAGAAGGUGGGCGUCCAGCUGGGCCUGUUGAAAUGGAUGGUCCUCUUCGGUGCCAAAGUGGCGAAGGUUGUCGAAUCCCUCGGGAAACUGGUCGUCGUUGUUGUUGUUGUAGCAACAACAACAGCAGGAGCCACCGGUGGAACGUCUUUGACGACGAUGGCUUCCGUCUCAGAUUCAACACUUUGCGUAGUAGGCGAGUCUGGCGUGGUGGUUGGAAUUUCCAGUAAAAUUUGCGCCAUGGCUUCAAUCACCGACGCAUCCGAGGGAUCCAAUUCCGGCCCUUCCGUGACGAUUUCCAGUUCCACUUGAUUGUUCUCAGCCGGAGUGGAUGAUUCCACCAGAAGAUUCUCCUGGAUUAUCAAGGGACUGUCGGUGCUAGCUCCUUCGGUGCUGGCCUCCUCCAUGGCCGUCGUCGACAUCCCCGACUCGGUGCUGGCCGCUUCCGUGAUCAUUACUUCCGGAACAAUUGAAUUAGGAGGAGCGAAUUCGACGUAGUCAUCCGGAACGCUUGGAGGAGAAUCAAUGACGGUCGUUGUCACUGUCGCCGUCACUGUCACCGUUGGCUGGGAGCUGGUCGAAGUGCUGACGGACUGGCCGCCGCCCAGACCGAUCCAGUUUCUAAAGUUGAUGUAAAGGGCGUUGAAGAAUAGACCGAUUGGACGUUGGGCCUGGCUCUCGCCAAUCAGCAAUCCACUCACCAGCAACAUCACUAAUUAUUUUACUAAAUGAGAGUCGUAAACCCCGAGGGUCUCAAGUUCAAACGGUUCCAACACACACAAAAUUGGAAGACCUGGAAAUUGUUAUUUUCUUCUUCUUUUCAUCUUUUGAUAGUACAAAGAUGAAACAGUACAUUCACGCAAGCAGAAGAUGAUCCGGAGAGAACCACAUCGUCCUGACGCCACCUGUCUGCAGCAGCUGCUGGAGUACAUGUUGCACUAUAGAGUGUUGGAAGAGAUGUGAUACACUAACAUUCGAUCGGGAUGGAAAAAAAGAAGAAAAAAAAAACGUCACGGUUUUUUUGGAUUUAAUUUAGUACAUUCGAUACGGCCCCUCCUUUUCUCACGCGGGAUAUUUGAAUGCGUCUUUUAGGUCUACCUUUUCCCGGCAAUGGGCGGUGUUUUCCGAAAAGUUCUCCACGUAAAACAUUUAAAAAAUGAUUCGUCGACCGCGACGACAAGAAAUUAAAAGAAACGGAGUUGAUCCAGCCGCAAUGGGUUGAACGAUGUAGUAAAUAUCGUCAGACAGCAGCAAUAAACCAGGAUCGGUAGAAGAGACAAAAGGGCAACAACCCGGUAAGAACCCGUUACAUAACACAAAUUUGUUUCGCAAAGCUUUAAAUCUUUUGUGUUUUUAGUUAGUGAAUUUCAAAUUGGCCGUGAUGUCGGCCUGCGAAUUCUCUGCCACCUGGAAUUGACGCUGUCGAGAUGGAAAUGAGGACUCGAUGAUGCUAGAAUGUUUAAUGAGAUGAGGAAUGCCAGCCAAUUUCGUCGGUCCAGCCCUGAGCUGGCCGGCCGUUCGACGGAGGAAUCCAUCCACCAGGUCAAGAUCGCCAAUGUCAACCACUUCCAGGUCCUGUUGGGAUCCCAAUCCGGUCCGUUUCUCCAUCACUUGACCCACUUUCCCGUAAUGCGGCAUCUUUUCCGGAAGACUCGGCGACAAGUCACCGAACUCUAAAUUGCGCUGCAUGGCCACCAGGUCCAUGUCGUCUAUGUCGACGGGAUCCUGCAUCAGAGCCGGAGGAGCCACCGACGGUUUCAAGUGGACAAACUCAUCCACCUUGAAAGUGUGCACAUUUUGAUUGUUCAAAAUGUUCUUCUGCAACUGGGAAGCGGCCAGUUCGUCCAUUUUUAUCAGCUCUUCAUCGGAGAAGUGAAGUUCGUCGUCUAAUGCGGCCACAUCCGCCCCGGAAGCCCGUCGAGAUUCCUCGACUUGCCCGUGCCGUUGCAACAUGCCGACGCUGACGGUGUAGGUCGGACAUUUGGAGGCGAUUUCAGUCACGACAAACUCCGAGUAGAGCGUCUUUGACAGCGUGGAGAACGACGUGGCCGUCGAGGUGACGGUCUGGAAGGCCGUCAGCCGCUCGGUGAGCGUCACGACGGCCACACUGACGAGCAGAGAAACGUCGACCGACGUGGACGUUUCCGUCACGGUUUCGGAAAAUUCAAUUUGAUUCACCUGAGCCAAGACAAGGACAAGGUGGAUGUUUCCGUCUCUGUAAUCCGCUCCGUUUCCGUCUUGACUUGCGUCUCGUAUUGGGUCAAGUAGACGGUGACGGGCUCGGUGACGGUUUCGGUGGGCGUCGUCGAAGUGCGUCGCUGGAAGAUUUGGGCGAAAUUGGCGAAGAAUCCGCCGUUGCUCUGAGUCCGGCAGGGCUGGCAAAACAGACACAAGAGACUCAACAACACGAAGCACUUUGUUGGCGUAUCCAUUUUCAAUUUGGUCGGGUAAGUCUGAAGGGAUUUUUAAAGACGAACGGACGAGAGAGACUCAUCCGGCGGACCCGGUAGCUGGUCUAUCGACUGAAUCGCCCGCUAAACACUCGGCUCCACUUUAUAGAUAUUCUCUCACCUUCUGUUGGCUGAUGGCCGUCGUUUUGAGUUAGGCUACCGUUUCUUUUUUAUGCGACGUAUGUGCACUGUACUGGACUGUACGGUCUUUUAGUUAAGUAGCCGAAUGUGUUUUUUUUCUUCUCUGUCGUGUCGCCACUUAUUCUUGUGGGAAGGAGGUCGACCGGGUGGCCGGGUGGACACGCACGAAUAACAACCCGAGUGAAAAAUAAAAUAAAAUAACAAUUU
rnacentral:lncRNA from 1 species